GAUGAACGCUGACAGAAUGCUUAACACAUGCAAGUCAACUUGAAUUUGGGUUUUUAACUUAGAUUUGGGUGGCGGACGGGUGAGUAACGCGUAAAGAACUUGCCUCACAGCUAGGGACAACAUUUAGAAAUGAAUGCUAAUACCUGAUAUUAUGAUUUUAAGGCAUCUUAGAAUUAUGAAAGCUAUAAGCACUGUGAGAGAGCUUUGCGUCCCAUUAGCUAGUUGGAGAGGUAACAGCUCACCAAGGCGAUGAUGGGUAGCCGGCCUGAGAGGGUGAACGGCCACAAGGGGACUGAGACACGGCCCUUACUCCUACGGGAGGCAGCAGUGGGGAAUAUUGGACAAUGGACCGAGAGUCUGAUCCAGCAAUUCUGUGUGCACGAUGAAGUUUUUCGGAAUGUAAAGUGCUUUCAGUUGGGAAGAAAGAAAUGACGGUACCAACAGAAGAAGUGACGGCUAAAUACGUGCCAGCAGCCGCGGUAAUACGUAUGUCACGAGCGUUAUCCGGAUUUAUUGGGCGUAAAGCGCGUCUAGGUGGUUAUGUAAGUCUGAUGUGAAAAUGCAGGGCUCAACUCUGUAUUGCGUUGGAAACUGUAUAACUAGAGUACUGGAGAGGUAAGCGGAACUACAAGUGUAGAGGUGAAAUUCGUAGAUAUUUGUAGGAAUGCCGAUGGGGAAGCCAGCUUACUGGACAGAUACUGACGCUGAAGCGCGAAAGCGUGGGUAGCAAACAGG
rnacentral:rRNA from 1 species